UGUGACUUGGUGUAAUGGUAACAUACUGGUCUCAUAAGCCAGAAGAUGCAAGUUCGAAUCUUGCGGUCGCAA
rnacentral:tRNA from 1 species